rnacentral:rRNA from 1 species
UACGUAGGUGGCAAGCGUUGUCCGGAUUUACUGGGCGUAAAGGAUGCGUAGGUGGAUAUUUAAGUGGGAUGUGAAAUACCCGGGCUCAACUUGGGUGCUGCAUUCCAAACUGGAUAUCUAGAGUGCAGGAGAGGAAAGUGGAAUUCCUAGUGUAGCAGUGAAAUGCGUAGAUAUUAGGAGGAACACCAGUGGCGAAGGCGGCUUUCUGGACUGUAACUGACGCUGAGGCAUGAAAGCGUGGGGAGCAAAC